AGUGAACGCUGGCGGCAGGCCUAAUACAUGCAAGUCGAACGGCAGCACAGCAGAGCUUGCUCUGUGGGUGGCGAGUGGCGGACGGGUGAGGAAUACAUGGGAAUCUGCCCAGUCGUGGGGGAUAACGUAUGGAAACGUACGCUAAUACCGCAUGCGCCCUAAGGGGGAAAGCCGGGGACCGCACGGCCUGGCGCGAUUGGAUGAGCCCAUGUUCGAUUAGCUAGUUGGCGGGGUAAAGGCCCACCAAGGCGACGAUCGAUAGCUGGUCUGAGAGGAUGAUCAGCCACACUGGAACUGAGACACGGUCCAGACUCCUACGGGAGGCAGCAGUAGGGAAUAUUGGACAAUGGGGGCAACCCUGAUCCAGCCAUGCCGCGUGAGUGAAGAAGGCCCUCGGGUUGUAAAGCUCUUUUGUCCGGAAAGAAAAGCAAUCGGUUAAUACCCGGUUGUUCUGACGGUACCGGAAGAAUAAGCACCGGCUAACUUCGUGCCAGC
rnacentral:rRNA from 1 species